rnacentral:lncRNA from 1 species
UAAAGCCAUCUCUUUCCACUAGGCCCCAAAGCUACAGAGGGUGAAGGCUAAGAUCAAAGGAGUGGUGUUCUUGGAAAAACCAGAAGCAGAACUCAUAGCAUCAACACAACUGACCACAAGAGCAACAGUGCAGCAGAAGAAUGGCCUCCCACAAUAAAUGGAAAUCCAUUCAGUGAAGACCAUCUCUAGAGAUUUCUGGGCCUUAAUAAAUAUCUAUAGAAUCAUGGGUGACUGCAGAGUCAUCCAUGAAUAUCUCUACAGUCACCCAAGAAAUUCUUAACAAAGGUAAAAUCAGGUCAGGAUGUGCCUCCAGAGCAGUUUUGAAUGAAGAAAAUUCAUCAGGAAGGGGCAACCUGCUGCCAAGGGGUGCGUGAGAGGCAGAGGGUCAAUCACAUUGGCCAGGGUAGCAAAUGGUGCUGAAUGAAGAUGACCAGCUGGGGAGGCCUUUCCUGUCCUCUCCACAGGGACUUUGUCCCUGAGUGCUCGUCAGUCACCAGCAAAACCCAAAGCUUGAAGCCAAUGUUUUGUCUUCAUGGAAGGAUAUGUACUGCCUGUUCUGUCAAGCUCUAAUCUCUUCAAACUUCAUUCCAGAAUCCUGAGAUUUUUUUCCUUGCCCUAUGACCUCAGAAACUAAUAGAAGAUUUUUCUGAAGCCAGGAAAUUAGACUCUGACCAUAAUUUGAUCAGAGGCAACACCCUCCCAGGGCUGGAUGAAGAUCUUUAAAAGUCUUGAGCAUUAAAGAGAUUAUGCUUCACAUCCCACA